UACGUAGGGUGCGAGCGUUAAUCGGAAUUACUGGGCGUAAAGCGUGCGCAGGCGGUUUUGUAAGCCAGAUGUGAAAUCCCCGGGCUUAACCUGGGAAUGGCAUUUGGGACUGCAAGGCUUGAGUGCGGCAGAGGAGACUGGAAUUCCUGGUGUAGCAGUGAAAUGCGUAGAUAUCAAGAGGAACACCUGAGGUGAAGACGGGUUGCUGGGCCGACACUGACGCUGACAGCGCGAAAGCCAGGGGAGCAAACGGG
rnacentral:rRNA from 1 species